rnacentral:lncRNA from 1 species
GGGUUGGGCUGCCUGAGCCAAUAGAAAGUCCGUAAGGCGGGACGAGGACUGCAGCAAGUUCGGUUGCGCGGAGACCGCAGCUGUUCCCUGUCAGUGGAGGCAGCGGCUGUAGAGGCGGUGGCGACGACUUGCGGCGGCAGCGAGGAGGUAGCACCUGCCUUCCGAGAGCUGACAGAACGCCGAGGGUAAGUCCUGGGCCUGGAUCCAGGUCAGUGGGAUGCAUGUGGGUCGCCUUCAGGAGCAUCUGCUGUAGAGCUUAGCAGCCUGGCUCGUCAGUUCCGGAGCACAAUAAAUAAAAAAGGGCCAAGCUCUGAUUUCUGGAAAAUAUAAGCCGUCUUUGUCUGUUCCCAGCUCUCUUGCUUGUCUGGGUUUUCACGGGAAAGCAGUUGGCCAGCCUCAGCAGGAGGCCCUACUUCUGGAAGGGCCUCGCCUAUAGGGGGUGAGGGCUGGGCCCCCCCCCCCAGGUCCGCAAGAAGCAUCUGCAGGGCAGGGCGGCCUCUGAGAAGACCCCUUGAGUCAGUGUGGAGAGCAGGCCGCUGGGCUCAGGAAGUGGCUCUGUCCACUGGCUGGGAGAGCACUUGACCCGCGUGCCAGACAGUGACGCUCAGCCUUGGGAGUCACGGUGACGAAGGGCUGAAGGCUGACUUGUCCCUCCUUCCCCCACAUAGCUUGUUCUGUGUGCCAGUGCUGCCCUGUAAACCUCCUGUGCUAAGGUCUCCCCUCGCACAGGAAACUCUGCUGAUCGCGCUGAGCCCAGGGCAUCUCAGCCUGAAUGCCAAGCGAGGCGCUCGUGACCGGUGUCCACCCGAAGGUCCCGUCUGUCUCUGGCGGCUGGCUGGGGAGAGCGUCCCAGCUGAACAUGAUGCUGGCUCUGUCUCGUGUCCCGCCUGCAUUUCAGACACUGAUCCGCUCUUCCCUCCACCACAGGCAGGCCAGCUGCUACCCCCGGUUCACAGCCAGGUGCCCUGGGAACUGUGUGGCUCGGGGACAACUGCCCAGAGCUCAGGUCCAGUGCUCAGCAUGAGGACUCCUUUGUUUGGGGAUUUUUCUCGGGUGACCCCUCCGGAGCCAGAAGCCGUUUUCCUCUCCGAGAUGUUCCAUCGCCCUUGCUUGUCCCAGGUGUUGGGCCAGCAGUGGCCGUCUUCCACUCUGGGAGCCAGAGAAGCAGGAGGGGGGCUGGGAUGCCAAGGCCGCUAGCGUACGUUUCCACCAGCUGUAUGUGGAAUGGGGCCAGACUCCACAUGUGGCAGCUCCUCUCCUGACCGACAUCCGUCCCCGCCUGAGGCCUCGGGAAAAUUCCAUGAUGUGGCUGUGCUGAGUCAUGCUUAGUGUCUGAGGAUCCGUAUGUCACCUUUCGCGUGUCUGUCACUGGUCAGCCCUGGGUCUGGGAAAGGCUGCAGCUUCCACAGCAGCCGUGAUAUCCUGCUGCUGAUCCUUUCUGUUUACCCACUGCUGUGUGCCUCUCCCGAGUGCUUUGACUGCUGUGCCGUUUAUCAGUAUAUCAUUGAUUAAUAUUAAAUACUAAGUGGAUUACUUAUUCUGGAAAAUAUUCUUCUCAUGAAUGAAGAAACUGAGGUUUGGAGAGACUAAGUGACUUGGAGAAUUUUGGGUGACUGGCGAGUGGCAAGUCUGGGUGAGAUUUUUGAUGAUAUCUCACUCCCACACACCCCCCCUUGUGGUUUCUUGUGUAAUGCAAAGAUUAUUCAGAAGAUACUUUGGUUGAAAAAAAUGAUUUUCAAUUUGUUCAAGUUACAAACUCAAAAAAAACCUCACUCUUUAAGGGCUAGACUUUUCCAUUUAGCUUUUAAGUAUAGCCUACAAAUCUUUUCUGUUCUUUUUUUUUUUUUUCUCUUUUUGAUUCUAGAAAAUUUUAACAAUCACUUUAAGGGGCCCUUUGGUUAAUACUGAUCCAUUUGCAAGAUUAACUCAUUGGAAAAUUCCAGAUCGAGUUUAUGAAUGACGUUCAACUUCCUUUAAUUAAUACUUGCAAGUGUCUGAUUAACAAAAUCUUUAAUACUUCAGUAUUCCUGUAAAUCUAAUAAUUUAAAUGGACUCAGUUUUUCUUAAGCAUUCCUGUGUUGUUUUAUGUUUUAUUAUUGACGCAGCUUUAUUGAGGUAUUUUUGACAGAAUAAACUGCACAUAUUUUAAGUGUAUGCUUUAUGUUUUGACAUAUGCAUAUACUUGUGAAAUCAUAACUGCAAUUAGGACAGUGAUUAUCCCAAAGCAUCCCCACGCCCCUGGGCAAUCCCUCCCUCCCUCAUGCCCCUUGGCAAUUCCUCUUUGCCUCCCUCACCCACAUGCAACCCUGAACUGUUUUCUGUUACUAUAGAUUAGGUUGCAAUUUCUGGAAUUUUCCAGAAGCGGAAUCAUGUAGUGUGCAUUCCUUUUUGGUCUGGCUUCAUUCACUCGGCAUAAUUAUUUUGGAAUUUGUCCAUAUUGUGUGUACCAAUAGUUCCUUUCAUUGCUGAGUAAUAUUCCAUUAGCGGAAAUUCCACAAGUUGUUUCUCCACUCACCUUUUGUUGGUCAUUUUCGUUGUUUCCAGUUUUUGGCGAUUCUAAAUAAAGGUGCUCUGAGCCUCUGUGUAC